rnacentral:rRNA from 1 species
UAGGGGAUCUUCGGCAAUGGACGGAAGUCUGACCGAGCAACGCCGCGUGAGUGAAGAAGGUUUUCGGAUCGUAAAGCUCUGUUGUUAGAGAAGAACGUUGGUAGGAGUGGAAAAUCUACCAAGUGACGGUAACUAACCAGAAAGGGACGGCUAACUACGUGCCAGCAGCCGCGGUAAUACGUAGGUCCCGAGCGUUGUCCGGAUUUAUUGGGCGUAAAGCGAGCGCAGGCGGUUCUUUAAGUCUGAAGUUAAAGGCAGUGGCUUAACCAUUGUACGCUUUGGAAACUGGAGGACUUGAGUGCAGAAGGGGAGAGUGGAAUUCCAUGUGUAGCGGUGAAAUGCGUAGAUAUAUGGAGGAACACCGGUGGCGAAAGCGGCUCUCUGGUCUGUAACUGACGCUGAGGCUCGAAAGCGUGGGGAGCAAACAGGAUUAGAUACCCUGGUAGUCCACGCCGUAAACGAUGAGUGCUAGGUGUUAGGCCCUUUCCGGGGCUUAGUGCCGCAGCUAACGCAUUAAGCACUCCGCCUGGGGAGUACGACCGCAAGGUUG